rnacentral:ribozyme from 1 species
CACGAAGCUCGUGGACGGCUGGGGCAGACGAACUCUUCUUCUUUGGGGAGCCACUGCACAGGCUAUUAGCAUGGCAGCAAUGAUCUACCUUGCUGACUUUGUGCCGGAGCAGUUUCGCGGGCUUUUCUGCAU